rnacentral:lncRNA from 1 species
UACGGAUAUCUACAUAAAGCUUUCGAACCGAUCAGAGGCCUUUGAUUUCACUGGGGUACUAGCUCCCUUGUAAAAAUUGCUUCUUUGAUGGUUGAUGUAGCACUCCUUUAGAAAUCAAAGACUCUCUUAGAUCUUGAAGAAGAACAGGAGGAAGAUAAAGGGAAAAUUAAAUCUAGAGAACCCUUUCUCAUUUCUUUUCUCUCUUCUCAAAAAUCCCACACCA